rnacentral:snRNA from 1 species
GUUCUUUCUGUGCACAUAUACUAAACACAAAAAAGAUUAGCAUGGCAUCUAUGUAAGGAUGACACGCAAAAUCGUGAAUCUAGCUUUCUAUAU